CGACAUGUAUAAAUCGUGAUUUCUACAAUAGUUGUUAGCUCAAAUUCAUGGAUUAUUGUUAGAAUGUAAAAUCUGAAUUUUCGAGCAUAUUUUAUCAAGUAAAUAGAUUAUACAUAUUGGACUUGAAAAUUGAAUUAGGAGAAACCUGCGAUUUGGACCUGUCACCAGUUUUAACUACCUGAUUUAGCUCUAGGAGCCGUUAGAAAAUUGUACUGUCGCAGUUUCUUCGAGACGAGUACUUCAGGUAGUUUAGAAUGUAUUUACACUCGUGCUGGUUCGCCGAGUGGAUUUUUACAGGGUCGUUCAGGUCGUUUCGGACUGUUGGGUGCCGUCAGAGUUG
rnacentral:lncRNA from 1 species